UAUGCUUAUAUCUACUAUAACUGGACCAACCUGGUGCUCUUCAUUUAUGGAGGCUGUUGAGUCUGAAUGUUGGAUGUUGUGUAUCUCGUGUUCUCUGGGCUUUGUUGUCCUCAGUCUUUUUGCAGGAUCAGAAAACAAAACCAGGAUGACCGUAAAUGUUUCUUCUCCAAUUGGAUGAUGAUAAGACCGUGACACGGUAUGCCACCUUUAGUCUUGUGAUGAAGCAAAGCUCAGGACGAAGUGUGAUUAAAUGGUACCCACAUGUGUGCUGCUGAGAAGGAUGUACAAGGGCACCUGCAGCCAAAUCCAAGCCUCCUCAGAGCAGAGCAGAAGUUUGUGCUCACAGAUGGUGACGGUGUGGAGAGAAGGUGGUGUUUCCUCAGAAGAACCAGCAGAGUCACCAAGGGCACGAGUCCAUCUCACUACCUUGACUUGCUGACUGAUGCUCGUCUGCACUGCACAGAGGAAAUCAACUGACCGAGGAGUGUUUCUGAGUGAGGGAGAGAGGAGUCGUCAUCCAGGUAAAGUGAUGUGGAUCAGUGGACACACUUGUCUCCCCUUUAAAGGAGAUACUCUUAGAGAGAGACGAUCCGAGUCAUCCCUAAAUAUGGGCAGGAUAUCAGUCUUGGACUGUCUAACCUGCCGGAGCAGCACUGAAUGACCACCACACAUGAGCAUGUUCCUGCAACAUUCAGCAGCUUUGCUUUUGUGUCAAAUGUCAAACAGCUGGAGAGGAAACUAAACCAGUGUACUGGGAUGUUUCACCAACACGUGCCAGAUGCUGUUCCUUCAUGGUGACAUCACCAGAGACAGCCCCGCCCACCUCAGGACCUCGCCAUUGAUCAUGAUGAUUAUAAUGAUGACAGCGAGCGGAACUAAGACUGUACAAAUCCACGACCAGAAUGUUUAGAUAGUUUCUAAUUAUUAAUGAAUACUGAGAGCCUCUUUCUGUGUUUUGUCUGUUUUGGGUUGUUUUUUUUUUUACUUCAUUUGUUACUGACAAAGUUCACCAAACUCACACAGUUUACAUUCUGUAUGUUUCCAUCUUUACCAGCCACACUCUACCUGCAUUUAGAAAACAAACCUUAGAAAUUGUCGUUUUUCUCUUUUGUAAUUUUGUAAUUCAGUGAAUAUACUGCGCUGCUUCCUUUUAUUGCAUCACACAUUGCUUUAAGUUUUUCAGUGUCCAGUUAUUUUUUACUGCUGUUUGAAUUCACUGUAUGUUUGACCCUGUAGACUGUUUGAUGGACUGCUUGUCUUCCUGUUUGUAACCGACGCCUGUUUUUGACUAAAGAUUUGGAUUUCUGACUUUAACACAGCCUCUGCGUGUCCUCCCUUUGUGUCCUCUUCCUCUGUGAAUGUGUUGCAUGUGUCACAGAUUCAUUUUAUUAACAGCUUUCCCACAGUG